UACGGAGGGUGCGAGCGUUGUCCGGAAUCAUUGGGCGUAAAGGGUGCGUAGGUGGUUGGGUAAGUCUGAUGUGAAAUCUCCGGGCUCAACCCGGAAAUGGCAUUGGAUACUAUCUGGCUAGAGGUUUGGAGGGGGGACUGGAAUUCUCGGUGUAGCAGUGAAAUGCGUAGAUAUCGAGAGGAACACCAGUGGCGAAGGCGAGUCCCUGGACAACACCUGACACUGAGGCACGAAAGCUAGGGGAGCAAACAGG
rnacentral:rRNA from 1 species